GGAUGUGUGGGCGAUCUGGCUGCGACAUCUGUCACCCCAUUGAUCGCCAGGGUUGAUUCAGCUGAUCUGGCUGGCUAGGCGGGUGUCCCCUUCCUCCCUCACCGCUCCAUGUGCGUCCCUCCCGAAGCUGCGCGCUUGGUUGAAGAGGACGGCCUUCCCCGAAUAGAGACGGACCGGUCUUCGGUCGAGUAUACGAAUAGCUGCGCUCCCCUGCUAGAACCUCCAAACCAGCUCUUAAGAAAGAAAGGUCAUCAGGGCCCGGUGAUGGCGCAUCUGCCUGAGCACACAUGCUACAAUGCACAAGGACCCAGGUUUGAGCCCCCAGUUCCCACCUACAAGUGGUGAAGCAGUGCUGCAGGCAUCUGUCUCCCUCU
rnacentral:snRNA from 1 species